AUUUGUCCAAAAACAAUAUAGAACCGUUCCAGUCUGUAUUCAGAUCCGGACACCACACAGUCACUGCACUUGUACGAGUCACAAAGGACCUUCUUACUUCUGCUGAUGCGAGUGCUUGAAACAUGAACUGUAGCUUGAACUUUUACUUGCAUCUGAAAGAGAAGACAGACAGAAAGAGGACUUUUAUCUUUGUAACGUCACUGACUGACUGACUCCACCCACACAUUCAGAUCUCUUCCUGAUCUCACGAUGGCAACAGAGAAAGACACAUAUAAGCAGAUGAAAACUACAGGACGAUGAUCAGACAGACGUCAGGAGUCACAGAAGGUGAUCAGAUGAAGACUAAAGACAGAGACGAGGAGAGAACAGAAUAUCAACAUGUCCGCCGCUGACACCAGAGUGAUCGUUGCCCACAUUCCUCCUCGUAGGAGAAGAUGGAGCAUAGACCAACCUCCUCACAUGAGGAUUGUUCUUCUGGGGAAGAGCGUGUCAGAAAACAGUGGAGUGGGAAACUUCCUGUUGGGACGAGCAGCGUUUGACAGUGAAGCUCCUCCAGAUGUUGUAGAGAGAGUAGGAGGAAGAUUGAAGGACAGACACGUGAUGGUCAUCAACAGUCCUCAGCUGCUCCAGACAAACAUCUCAGAUCAUCAGAUCACACAGACAGUGAGAGAGUGUGUGUCUCUGUCUGAUCCAGGACCUCAUGUGAUCGUUCUGCUCCUCAAACAUGAUCAGUGUUCAGCAGAAGAUCAGGAGUGUGUGGAGAAGGUGCUGGACUCUUUCUCUGAGCGCGUUUAUCAAAACACAAUGGUGCUCACCACACAAGAGCCCACUGAAACCAAUGACAUCCUACAGAAAAUCAUUCAGAAAUGCUUCAACAGACACUUCAGUCUUCAGAGAAGCAGCUCUCCUGAUGAUCUUCUGCAGACGUUUGAGGACAUUGUGCAAAUGAAUGAUGGACGACACCUGGAUUGUGCUGAAGCUUCACAGUAUUUCACAAUGAAGCAACAGGACACAGAAAGAUUUUCAGAGGGUGUGAAGCUGAAUCUGGUUGUGUGUGGGAGUGACGGCACGUUAAAAUCCUCCAUAUCAGAGCAGAUCCUGCAGCAGACAGACAGAAGAUCAGACGUGGAUCUUCAUGGACGUCAGAUCAGUCUGGUGGAUCUUCCAGCUCUGUUCAACACUCGUCUCUCAGAGGAGGAAGUGAUGUGUCAGACUCUCCGCUGUGUGUCUCUCUGUCAUCCUGGAGUUCAUGUUUUCCUCCUCAUUAUUCCUGAUGCUCCACUCAAUAAUGAAGACAAAGCAGAAAUGGAGGAGAUCCAGAGGAUCUUCAGCUCCAGAAUCGACAAACACAUGAUGAUCCUCAUAAUGCAGAAUUCAGAGCAUCAGACAGCAGAACUCAAUGAAGAAACACAGUCUGUCAUUGAGAGAUUUGGAGGACGACAUCAUUUCUUUGGUCCCAACACACAAGUGUCCACAUUGAUGGAGAACAUUGAGAAGAUGCUGGAAGAAAACAGAGGAGAGUUUUUCUCCACAGAGACAUUUCUGGAGGUGCAGAUGGAAAAACUGAUGAAAUAUGAAGAGAUGAAGAAGAAAAUUCAGUCACUAGAGAAAUGUGUCCUGUCACAAGGUUCAACAGAGAGUGAAGAUGAUCUGAGGAUUGUGCUGCUGGGAAAAACUGGAGUUGGGAAGAGUGCAACAGGAAACACAAUCUUAGGAAGAGACGCGUUUAAGGCAGAAGAAUCUUUUGAAUCAGUGACCAGUGAGAGUCAGAGAGAAUCAUCUGAAAUCAACGGCCGACGCGUUACUGUGAUCGACACUCCAGGACUGUUUGAUACUGAACUGAGUAAUGAGGAGAUCCAGAGAGAAAUCAGACACUGCAUCUCCAUGAUCCUGCCUGGACCUCAUGUGUUUCUCCUGCUGAUUCCACUGGGAAGAUUCACUAAAGAAGAACAGAAAUCAGUGAAGAUCAUCCAAGAGACGUUCGGAGAGAAAUCUUUAAUGUUCACCAUAGUGCUCUUCACCAGAGGAGAUUUUCUGAAGAAAAAAUCCAUUGAACAGUGUUUGGGAAAACCAGGAUCUGUGAUCAGAAACCUGAUUGAAGCAUGUGGAAACAGAUUCCAUGUGUUCAAUAAUAAUCAGACUGGAGACCGAACACAGGUGUCUGAUCUACUGGAGAAGAUAGACAACAUGGUGGAAGAAAACGGAGGGAGUUUCUACUCAUGUAAGAUGUUCAGAGAGAUGGAGAGAGAAAAACAAGAACAACAGAUGAAGAUCCUGAUGGACAGAGUCAGAGAAAGAGAAGAACUGAUGAACAAACUAGAAGAAGAGAAAGAGAGAAUGAAGAUGAUGAUGGAAGAAGAACAACAGAAUCAAGACAAAGAGAGAAAGAGAAGAGAAGAGGAACUGAAAAGAGAAAUAAGAGAAGAAGAGAAACAUCAGAGAGAGAUACGAGACGAGAUGAGACGAGAACGAGAGACAUUCAAACAUGAAAUAGAGGAAAUGAGACAAGAAAAAGAGAAUUUGAAGAAAGAAAAGGAAAAACUUCAGAUCAAAUAUGACACAGAAACAGACAGACUGAUGAACAGAAUAGAGAAUGAGAGGAAGAAAAGGGAAGAGGAAUUUAAUGAGAGAGAGGAACGAUAUGAAACUCUAAUAAAAGAGAAAGAAGAUCUUCAAUCCAAACAUGAAGAAGAAGAAAACAAGAUGAAGAUCCUGAUGGAGAAACUGAACAGAGAAAGAGAAGAACUGAUAAAGAAACAUGAUGAAGAGAAAGAGAGAAUGAAGAAGAUGAUGGAGGAAGAACGACAAAAUCAUGACAAAGAGAGAAAGAGAAGAGAAGAAGAAUUGAGAGAGAGAGAAGAACGAUAUAAAAGAGAAAUGAAGGAACAGGAGGAGAUGAUGAGAGAUGAAAUGAAGAGAGAACGAGAGAUGUUUAAAGAUGAAAUGAGGAAAGAAAAAGAGAAUCAACAGACAGAAAUAGACAGACUGAUGAACAGAAUAGAGAAUGAACGACAGAAUCAUGACAAAGAGAGUGGGAGAAGAGAAGAAGAGUUUAAAGAGAGAGAAGAACGAUAUAAAAGAGAAAUGAAAGAGAGAGAGGAGCUCGAGAGAGAGAUACGAGACGAGAUGAGACGAGAACGAGAGUCAUUUAAACAUGAAAUAGAGGAGAUGAGACAAGAAAAAGAAAAACUUCAGAUCAUAAAUAACACAGAAAUAGACAGACUGAUGAACAGAAUAGAGAAUGAACGACAGAAUCAUGAAAAAGAGAGAAAGAGAAGAGAAGAUGAAUAUACAGAAAGAGAAGAACAAUAUAAUAUACAGAUGAGAAGAGAACGAGAGGAAUGGGAGAAACAGAAACUGGAUGAAAAGAUAAGAAGAGAAGAAGAGAAGAAAAGGACAGAGAGAGAAAAACAGAUUUCUGAUGAACAGAUUCAGAGACUGAAGAGUGAAAUGGAGGGAAUAAUCAGAGAGAAAGACAGUAUGAACAUGAUGUUGGAGGAAGAACGACAGAAUCAAGACAAAGAGCGAAAGAGAAGAGAAGAAGAACUGAGAGAGAGAGAAGAACGACAUAAAAGAGAAAUGACAGAAAAGGAGGUGCAGUUGAGAGACGAAAUGAAGAGAGAACAAAAGGAAUGGGAGAGACAGAAACAAGAGGAAAAGAAGAGAAGAGAGAAAGAGUUUAAUGAAAGAGAAGAAGGAUAUAAAACAAAAAUAAAAGAGAAAGAGAGACAGAUGUGUGAGGAGAUGAGAGAACGAGAGGAAUGGGAGGAACAGAAACUAGAGGAAAAGAUGAGAAGAGAAGAAGAGAGGAAAAGAAGAGAGAAAGAAAAACAGCACAGUGAUGAACAGAUUCAGAGACUGAUGAGUGAAAUGGAGGGAAUAAUCAGAGAGAAAGAGAGAACAGAAAGAGAGAGACGAGAACAACUAGAGGAUUUAGAGAAGAGACUGACAGAAGAAAGAAACAUGAGAGAAGAUCAACAAAAGACUUCUGAAGAAACACUGAAACUCCUUGAAGAACAUCAUGAAGAAGAACUGAAGAGAAAACGAGUGGAGUGGAGAGAGGAAUAUGAACGAGAGAAAGAGAAGAUGAAGAAGAAGAUCUGCUCUGAAACUGAUCAGAGAGAAAACAGGGAUACUGGAACAGCAGGAGUCAGAGCAGGAAUAAAGCAUCUACACAUGAGUCCUUCAGAAGUCCUUAGAACAGACGAAGUGCGACCAGAUCAACAUGAGGAAAAAGAAAACCUUUCAAAGUCAAAAACACUCCUUGACAGACUUCAUCUCAGCAAGCAUCAACAUAAACUGAGAGCUGCAGAUGUUCUUCAGAUAACUGUUCAUUCAUUACAGUCUCAUGAGUCUUGUGCUGAAGAAGAGCUGAUUCACACUUUCAUACAAAAACUACUGAUGAUGAACUACAGAGCAAGAUACAUUCAUGUUAGAGAUCCCAAUGAACAAAGAGGCAUUGACUUGUUUGAAGAUGAGAAUGAUAUAUUCAUACCAGUCUCUUUGUACAAUAAAAGAACAAGCCAAUCUGACCAUAUUCACCCGAUGGAUGUCCAGAUGGCCGUGUUUCAUUGUGCUGAUGGUUUCCUGAAGCAGCUGAUGGUCACUAAACUGUCCCAGUGUCAGUACGCUCUGCCUCUGCUUGUUCCUGAUCCAUUCACACAACAGAUUGAGUUUCCUCUCUGGACAUUCAGACAAAUCCACAAGAUCUGGAAGAUCAGAAACACCAACAAUGAAACCAUCAGUCAAAUCCAGCCGAUCUACAAGGCAGAAACUCCAAUGGUGUUUUUCUUCAGGUUUGGCUCUGUGUCUUCAUCCAAGUCUCAGCUGAUGAACAGUCUGAUCAAUGAGAAACACAACACGUUCUUCCACAGGAACUGCCCAGGCAGCAGCAGAACCAGAGUCCUGAUGGAUGGAGUGGUGGAGAUCGCCUGGUUCUGCCCCUCUGGAACAAACACAGAUAAAUUCACUGACUGUGUUGCGUUCUGUAAUCUACACGGUGAUGCAGGAGACCAUGAGAAACAGCUGCAGAUCCUCACUGAAAUGAGCUCAGUCAAUGUUGUUCUUCUACCACGACUUCACAAGAAUGACAGAAGUGCAACAAUAAUCCAAAAUCUGUACAGGAUCAGAAAGCCACUCAUUUGUCUUUUUACUGAGGAUGAAUCUACUGCCAUUGAGACAAGGAGAGGAAAAUACAAGAUUGGUUUGAAAGACAGAAAUCAUUCAGAAGUAUCUGAAGAACUCAGAAGAGCUAUAAAUGAUUGUCUCUCAGAAUCAUCUUCCACUUUCAGACUUGAAGAUGUGUCCAAACACUCAGACAUCAGAGUAGAUGAGGAAGAUGAUGAUGACUGCAGGAGAGGAAGAGCAGCAGCACAGCAGAUGAUGAGUUUACUGGAGAAGAAACAUCUGACAGAAAUCAAAGAAUCAUUUCUGCCUCAUCAGGGAAAACUGUGGCAUCAGUGGAGUCAGAAGAACAAAGAACUACAUCGACCUCGAGCAGAUGAUAUUGAAAGGGAACUAAGUAAAAAACAAACAGAGAUGAAGAAAAUCCGUGAACAACAGCAUGAAUCUGACAUCAGUGAGUUCAUUAAGCUCUUUAUUAGACAAAUGAACUCACAUAAUUACCAUAACAGUAUGUUUUUCCUUGAAUGGCUCAGAAUCCUCCUGGAUGAAUACACAUCAGCUGAUCUUUCUGUUCUACAUCACAGAUAUGAUGAAAAGUGGUCAACAGUCUUAAAACUGAAAGAGUGUUAUAAUAAAUCUGAACAACUCAAAGCUGCACAAACUGAACUUGAGAGAAUAUCUGGGGAUUUUCAAGCUGCAUCCUUUGGUCUGGAGCACAUCAUGAGGGAGAUCGGUCAGAUCUAUGAAUCAUGUUCAUCUGUGAAGAAGAACAAGAAAGACCUGCAGGUUCACUUCUCUUCUCUCCCGAGUCUUGCAGCAGAGAUGUUGAUCUCUGGAUUUCCACUGGAGCUGAUGGAUGGAGAUGCUGCUCAUGUUCCUGUGAUCUGGAUCUCUGCUGUUCUAGAUGAACUCAUCCAGAAACUGGGAGACAAGAGAGUCUUUGUGCUGUCAGUUUUAGGGAUUCAGAGCUCUGGGAAAUCCACCAUGCUGAAUGCCAUGUUUGGACUCCAGUUUGCCGUCAGUGCUGGCAGGACAACCAGAGGAGCUUUCAUGCAGCUGAUCAGAGUGUCAGAAGAGAUGAAAACACAGAUGAACUGUGACUAUAUUCUGGUUGUUGAUACUGAGGGUCUUCGUGCUCUAGAACUGACUGGAAGAUCAACAAGACAUCAUGACAAUGAACUGGCCACAUUUGUUGUUGGUCUUGGAAAUCUGACAUUGAUCAACAUCUUUGGAGAAGACCCAUCUGAGAUGCAGGACGUUCUUCAGAUUGUUGUUCAGGCCUUCAUGAGGAUGAAGAAGGUCAGACUGAAUCCCAGCUGUGUGUUUGUGCAUCAGAACAUUUCAGACGUCACAGCUAUAGAGAAAAACAUGGAGGGAAGGAGACGACUGCAGGAGAAACUGGAUAAGAUGACAAAACUCGCUGCUGAAGAGGAAGUCUGUGAUGCUGAAUAUAUCAGUGAUGUCAUUAGAUUUGAUGUUGAUAAUGAUGUGAAGUAUUUUCCUCAGCUCUGGGAGGGCAGCCCACCCAUGGCUCCACCAAACCCAAACUACUGUGAGAAUAUUCAAGAACUAAAGAAAACUAUUAUGUCUCAUUCAGCAAAAUCACAUGGAAUGACGCUGACAAAUCUGAAAGAUCGUAUUAAAGAUCUCUGGGAGGCUUUACUGAAGGAACGACUCGUCUUCAGCUUCAGAAAUUCUUUGGAGAUUUCAGCUUACAGGAAACUGGAGACCAAAUACAGCAGGUGGUCCUGGAGACUUUGCAGUGCCAUGAUGGAAACUGAGAACAAAUUACACAACAAAAUAGAAAAUAAAGCAAUUCAUGAGGUUGAGGAAACUGAUCUUCAUAUAGAACUGAAGAAGACAAGUGAAGAAGUGAAGAAAUCAAUGUCAGAGUUCUUUGAGAAAGACAGAGAUAAAGAUAUACUGAUUCAGUGGAAAACAUCAUUUGAAAUCAAAAUCACAGAGCUUCAGGAGAACAUUGUGAGAGAAACAAAGAGGAAAUUAAAUGAGGUUCUUCAGCAGCGAGACCUGAAGAAAGAGAUUGAUGCUCAGAGGACACAUUAUGAAAACACUCUCUAUGAAAAGAGCAAAGAACUCGCCUUAAAACUCAAAGACAAAACAAAUGAUGAAGAAACACUGAAGAAAGAGUUUGAUUUGUUCUGGGAACAGAGUGUGAAGAAGAUCAUCAGAGACACUCCUCUAAUCAGAGACAUUGAUGUAAUGAGAGAUGUGAGAGAGAUUCUCAGUGACGUCUAUGAAAGUGUUUCUGUAGUUCACUGGAGGGGGAGCAGGGAUAUUUUCACUGUGAUGAGUUAUUCUGAUUAUGUGAAGAUAAAGAAAUCCAGUAGAUUUACAGGAGCUUUAAGACAUCGCAUAUUAAUUAAAGAGAUGUUUGGUUAUGGUCCUCUAUCUAAAGAGGAUGAAGCUCAAAUCAGAUCAUUUGUCACAGAUGUUGUUCAGCAGACAGACAGAAUGAUUCAGUCAAUUAACAUUUCAAAGAUGGGCUACAACAUCAGCUGCAUUCAACAACUCACAGGUUACAUCAAGAGGAGAGUAACAGAACAUCAGGAUGGACGAGUGAAUUAUCUGUUCAAGAAUGAAUUCUUCAUGGAUUUGGUUCUUUCCAUCUGUAAGAGAUCAAACAAGAUGAUCACUGACCAACACAACCUGUUCAGAGAAGCCAAUGAUCCUGUAAUAUAUGUUGAGAAGAAGAGAGGAGAGUACUAUAGUAUUUUCCAGAAAUACUGUCAUGGAUCUGCAUGGUGAGAUCAUCCGUCAGAAACUGAAAGAGCCCAUUUGAGUGUCUACAAGAAGACUGACAGAGAUCUGACAGAUGAUCAAAACAACAUAUUUCUGAACAUAUGCCUCACUGAUAAAGCUAAAAAUGCUUGAUAUUAUAGUUUAUUACUAAUCUAAACAGCUUAAUCUCUAUAAUGAACUGAAAAAGAUCUAUGAUAAGGAUAUUAAUGACAGACUGUUGAUGAAAUAUGAUUGAAGUGUGUGUUUGUUAAAGCUCAGUGCUGUAAUCAGACGGUGGAGGAAAGUGUGAGAAAUAAACAGAUGUGUGAAUCAAACCUCUCAGACCUGUCAAUCUGAUUCAUAUUGAUUCAUAUUCAUAUGAUUCACUCGACACAAAUACUGUCAACAUCAUGAAUUUAUUGACCUUCUCAAGUGUCCUUUCACACUUGUUUAAUAUUUACUCGUAUUAUGAGAAACUUUGAUUUGACUUCAGGAAUUGAAAUGAUGAAACCUGAAGAUCUCUAUAGCAGAUUUUCAUUCUCUGACAGUAUCUCAGUCAUUGAUAAAAUUCAUCACUUAAACAUUGCUAAAACAUAAUUAAUAAUGCUUACUACACAAUACUGUGAUCAAAAUGUCUAAAGAGUUAGAAAUUAAGAGACAGAGAGAAAUGUGCUGAGUGUCGACAGGAUCUGAACUCAAACUCUCACUGAUGAUCUUUGACAGUUCAUAUCUGUCUCAUUCUCUGUUCAGUGUCACAAGAGUUCAUCAGGAUCAUUUCACACUGAUUGUUCAUAUGAACUCGUUCUAGAAACUUGUUAAAGCACAUCAGCUCCAGCUUUGGGUUCUCCAGCUUCAUCCUGCUGACCAGAUGAUGAGGAUGAGCUGAUCCUGAUGGAACUGGAAGACGGAGGAUUUUAAUGACACUCUUAAACUGCAGGAGUAUCCACACAUCUUCAUCUGUUUAUCUGAAGCUCUGUGUUGAUCCUGUUGAACAUCUGCAAGCUCUCUUUUCUUCUGCAUUUCCUCAACCAGUUUUUGCUGUUUCUUUUUUUCUGUUUUCCCAAACCUCUGUUCUCCAUAUGCUAAAACAGGUUUGAGACCCCUGGUGUAAAAUAAUCACUGAAUUAUCAUUUGUGUGAUUGUUAGAAACAAAGACUAACAAUGAAAGACUAAAAAUGAUACUUCCGUCAUAAAGUCAUAUUUGAUAAUUAAUCAGUGGCCUAAACUAAAUGUCUGAAUGAAUAGAAAAUACUUUGAUGAAAUAUACUAAUAAUAUGUCAAUCUGUUUUUCUUCAGUUAUUCAUAAAUCGGACACAGAGGAACAGUGUAAGCUGGUUUUACUGCAGCACAUGCCUGGCAACAAUAACAUAUGCAGAUUUUAAUCAGUUUCUGUCAGUUCCUGACACUGUUUCAGAGUACAUGAUUGUUUUACUGCUUGAAGUUUCUGUUUUGACGUUGUUGUUUGUUGAGUGUCCGGCAGAUGGCGCCAAAUCUCCAUUCAAACUGAUGACUCUUGAACGGCUUUCAUUCAUACGAGGCAGUAUCAGUCCAAUCACGUGACCGUUAUUAUAUCUGUAUUAUUACUGACAGAAUUAAUCACGCUUACUGAUUAAGCGCUCUCAUGAGUCACGUGUGUCUGUUUCUGCCUGGUGUUCCGUACAGUGUGUGUGUGUGUGUGUGUGUGUGUGUGUUCAGUUAGUGAACGCUAGAACUGCGUCAUCAAUAUCUGCUCAUUCUUGCUCUUAAGAUUCCCGAAUGAUUUCCGUCACAAGGCACGUGCAGGAAUAUCAGGCGCCUCCUCCGCAGGAUCACGUGAACCGAAAGUGAAAGUGAAAGUGAACAGUCUUGAACAGCAGCUCGACUCUUGUGAGGUUAUAUUCCGCGCAUUGCUGUAUUUUAUGCUCAUAUGUUGGUUUGGUGAUAUCAGUAAUAAUUUCGAGCAUCUAUUGAGAUUUUUUUUUUUUUAUGUUUUAAAGCGUUUUUCUUUUCGAGGAACCGUUUUUAUGAGCUUCAUGUGUUCAGAUUAUACAGUGAAGAUGGCGACCGGAGCUAAAACACUUCCUGGUAAGAAACUCCGUUUACACGCUUUAAAGACAGUUUGAGUUAAUAUUAUUCUAUCCAAUCCUGCUUCACACUGAGCUGAUGAAUAUAUUCAUGUACAUAGAUCAGCUCCAGUCCAGAUGAUCCAGUGAUCCGGAUUCUUCUGAUGGACAGAAGCUCAAAAGCUCAUCUGGAAACACUACUGGGAGAAAGAAAGAUUAAAGUUAAAAAGAAGCAUAAAGCUGAAGUUUGAGAGAAGAGGAAUUCUCCAGAUCUGAAUAAAGAAGAUGGAGACGAUGAUGAAAGAGGACACACCUGGACUUUAUGAUGAUGAAUUCAGUAAAGUGUAGCUGAUGUUCUUGUCUCCACGCUUUUCUCUUCACCAUUGAAGUGGAUUUAUUCACUUGGGAAAAUAAGAAAACAUGAAGAAACUCCAAAGAGUGUUUUGGGAACAGAGUCCCACACGUUAAAAACUUUUAUAACAGCAAUGAUAAUUCACACUACACAGAGUGAACUGGACCAAACAGUGGUUUGACACGAUAUAUGUAGAACAACAGGAACUGGACUGGAGUAUUACUGGACCGAGGCUUUCAAAACACAUAUAAAUAUACAGAUCAAUAUUUCUGUCUUUAUCAUAUGUUGCAGAACGCAGUUCCGCACACUUGAACCGUGUUACAUGUCACUGGCGAUCACAGGAAGUGCAUCUCCUGCGGUGAUUCAUUAUGCUGGUUUCUCAUGUUAACUACAGUAAGAACAAAUGUAGCUCCUCCUCCUAUGUCAGCCUAGCCUGCCUGUUUCUGACGCGCUCGCGCUGCAGUACAACAGCACGAGACCAUCCUGCCAUCAAGAGCCCUUCAUUCAUUAACUCUGAAGAUCUGCUAUCAGGUUCUUCAUUUGAGUUGAAUCAUGUCUAUCAACAUGACGUGUGGAGAGAUUCAGACAACAGUGGGGUUUAUGUACAAGAUUCUGCCUGUGAUUCUGAAUCACACACUCAAUGAUCCUGACUGCGAACAGAGCUGGUAUACAAAGGACGGGCGUCUGUUAGCAGAUCCAUCAGAUCCACACAAACGGAUGUAUCCUGUUAUUUCAGUCUCAUCUGAAUGUCUCGUCACUUCUCACUGUGUGGAUCAACUUCAUCAUGAGAUUCAGUGUCAUUCUAAAGGAAUCACACAUGAGACCGUGUUCAGAGUGAGGAAUGAAACUGCAGCGACUCCAAACUCAGAUGUUCUGGAUGAAGUGACUCCGUCUCUCCAGCUCUCAGAUCACUUGUGGUGGAUUUCUGUUCUCGUCAUCAUCUUUCUUCUGGCAUUUCUCUGUUUCAUGCUGCGUAGAAGGAUCUUCAGGUGAGUCCAGACUGAUCUUUCCUAACAUCGUACUUCAGUCUUUACAUCUGACACUAGUUCACAAGAGCUCAUGUCAUCAUCAAUUUCAUUCAUUUGUCAUCAACAUUUUCAUUCAUUUAAUCAGCUUUAACAUUUUUUUAUGAAUCUGUCACAUUGGUAAACAGAUUUCUAGAUAAUGAAUUUAUAUAUGUGACCCGUGCUGGCAAAAUGAGUCGCAAUGAGCAAAUUUUCAAAAAUGAGUUAUUGUUAUUUUCACAUUCUCUGUCGAAAAACCUUCAAAAUGUCGUAUGAUUUGACAAAAAAUGACUAGGCUACAUCUGUUUGAAGUACAUAGUCAGCAAAGUCAGUUUUAAGAAAAAUCAAGUUAAAGUUUUCUGAAGGUUCCAAAACAAAAUCACCUAGAAACUAAAGUAUGCAAUAAUAAGUGUCAGUCUGUUGUUUUCAGAGGUAAGCGCGGCUCAUCUGUGAGCAUGAGGAUGAUCCAGAGAACAGGUGAGUGAAUCAAACUGAGAGAAAGGCUUGAACUGUGUUUCACUGAAUCACAUGAUCAUUUCACAGAUGGAUGAUGAAGUAACCUACAGCUGAGACGGAUGAAUCCAAACUGAAUCUGAAUGUGUUUCACGCAGGGAUCUGAAGGUUGGACCUGAUGAUCCGCGUUCACUGCAGGAAUCUUCAGUGUCCAGAUGAUGAUCACCAUCUGAUGCUCAACAUCACGGCUCAUUUUUAAUAUGCACUCGCCUUACAGCACCUUGUUUUUCCUUCACAACGAAGUAAAAGUAGAUUUCCAGACCUUUCACUGUCUCUGUUCCUCUCUGUUGAAAUGAGCUGCUGGCCUCCAUACGACCUUCAAGAAGCAGCUGAAGACACUUGUUCUGCAUGCACUUAAUGAACCCACAAGCUUAAAGCAAGGCACUUUAUUAGAAAAACAUUCUCUUCUUCUCUGUAGGGGUGUAACAGUAUAAAUAUUUAUACAAAACAUUUUUGGUUCGGCAUUCGUGUGUACUGAAUAAAUGUGUUUUUUAAACAAUCAUCACAAUCAUCUUUGUGAUUUGUUCUGAAAAGAAACAAAUCUUUGUUUUAGUUGUUCUUUUGUAGUUCUUUUCAUGGUAUUUGUAGUUCUUUUUGUUCAUGCUAAUUAUUUCCAAGUGUUGCUUGUUGUUUUCUCAGUUAUUUAACCAUGUGCUUGUGUGUAUUAUUGUUUGUUUGUACGUGUGCCUUUCAUGUGGUUACGUAUCAAGGUCUUGAACCUACAUGUCAUGUGUUUUAUUGGUCAAGUUAUGGACAUGUCUCAUGAUUGGAGCAAUUAAACACCUUUUUUAUCUGCA